UACGUAGGGGGCAAGCGUUGUCCGGAAUCACUGGGCGUAAAGCGCGCGCAGGCGGUCAUCUACGUCUGGGGUGAAAGCCCGGAGCUCAACUCCGGGAUUGCCUUGGAUACGGGAUGACUUGAGGAUCGGAGAGGCAAGGGGAAUUCCACGUGUAGCGGUGAAAUGCGUAGAGAUGUGGAGGAACACCUGUGGCGAAGGCGCCUUGCGGGCCGAUUUCUGACGCUGAGGCGCGAAAGCGUGGGGAGCAAACAGG
rnacentral:rRNA from 1 species